rnacentral:rRNA from 1 species
UACGUAGGGGGCAAGCGUUGUCCGGAUUUAUUGGGCGUAAAGAGCGUGUAGGCGGCCAGGUAGGUGGGUUGUGAAAACUGGAGGCUCAACCUUCAGACGUCGACCCAAACCCCCCUGGCUAGAGUCCGGAAGAGGAGAGUGGAAUUCCUGGUGUAGCGGUGAAAUGCGCAGAUAUCAGGAAGAACACCCGUGGCGAAGGCG